rnacentral:rRNA from 1 species
AGAAUCAACGCUGGCGGCGUGCCUAACACAUGCAAGUCGAACGAGAAAGUGGAGCAAUCCAUGAGUAAAGUGGCGACCGGGUGAGUAACACGUGGGCAACCUGCCCCUCACACUGGGAUAACCUCGGGAAACCGGGGCUAAUACCGGAUACGACCUCGAGCGGCAUCUCUUGAGGUGGAAAGCUCCGACGGUGAGGGAUGGGCCCGCGGCCUAUCAGCUUGUUGGUGGGGUAAUGGCCUACCAAGGCGACGACGGGUA